rnacentral:misc_RNA from 1 species
UACGGAGGGUGCAAACGUUGUUCGGAAUCAUUGGGCGUAAAGGGCACGCAGGCGGUCUGUCAGGUCGGGUGUGAAAGCCCGGGGCUCAACCCCGGAUGUGCGCUCGAAACCGACAGACUGGAGUCACGGAGGGAGAGGUGGAAUUCCUGGUGUAGGGGUGAAAUCCGUAGAUAUCAGGAGGAACACCGGCGGCGAAGGCGACCUCUUGGCCGAUGACUGACGCUGAGGUGCGAAAGCGUGGGGAGCAAACAGG